rnacentral:rRNA from 1 species
CCUACGGGAGGCAGCAGUGAGGAAUAUUGGUCAAUGGGCGCGAGCCUGAACCAGCCAAGUCGCGUGAGGGAAGACGGCCCUACGGGUUGUAAACUUCUUUUGUCGGGGAGCAAUGGGCGCCACGCGUGGCCCUACUGAGAGUACCCGGAGAAAAAGCAUCGGCUAACUCCGUGCCAGCAGCCGCGGUAAUACGGAGGAUGCGAGCGUUAUCCGGAUUUAUUGGGUUUAAAGGGUGCGUAGGCGGAGCAUUAAGUCAGUGGUCAAAUUUCGGGGCUCAACCCCUUCCCGCCAUUGAAACUGGCGUUCUUGAGUGGAAGAGAAGUAUGCGGAAGGCGUGGUGUAGCGGUGAAAUGCAUAGAUAUCACGCAGAACCCCGAUUGCGAAGGCAGCAUACCGGCGUCCAACUGACGCUGAAGCACGAAAGCGUGGGGAUCGAACAGGAUUAGAUACCCGAGUAGUC